rnacentral:miRNA from 1 species
AAAGGAUUGGCUGAAUUGUAG